AGAGUUUGAUCCUGGCUCAGGAUGAACGCUAGCUACAGGCUUAACACAUGCAAGUCGAGGGGCAGCAUUGGAGUAGCAAUACUUCAGAUGGCGACCGGCGCACGGGUGAGUAACACGUAUCCAACCUGCCGCUUACUCGGGGAUAGCCUUUCGAAAGAAAGAUUAAUACCCGAUGGUAUAAAGAGUCCGCAUGUUCUCUUUAUUAAAGAAUUUCGGUAAGCGAUGGGGAUGCGUUCCAUUAGAUAGUUGGCGGGGUAACGGCCCACCAAGUCUACGAUGGAUAGGGGUUCUGAGAGGAAGGUCCCCCACAUUGGAACUGAGACACGGUCCAAACUCCUACGGGAGGCAGCAGUGAGGAAUAUUGGUCAAUGGACGAGAGUCUGAACCAGCCAAGUGGCGUGAAGGAUGACUGCCCUAUGGGUUGUAAACUUCUUUUAUAAGGGAAUAAAGUGAGGGACGUGUCCCUUUUUGUAUGUACCUUAUGAAUAAGGAUCGGCUAACUCCGUGCCAGCAGCCGCGGUAAUACGGAGGAUCCAAGCGUUAUCCGGAUUUAUUGGGUUUAAAGGGAGCGUAGGUUGACAUAUAAGUCAGCUGUGAAAGUUUACGGCUCAACCGUGAAAUUGCAGUUGAUACUGUAUGUCUUGAGUGUACAAGAGGUGGGCGGAAUUCGUGGUGUAGCGGUGAAAUGCUUAGAUAUCACGAAGAACUCCAAUUGCGAAGGCAGCUCACUGGGGUACAACUGACACUGAGGCUCGAAAGUGUGGGUAUCAAACAGGAUUAGAUACCCUGGUAGUCCACACAGUAAACGAUGAAUACUCGCUGUUUGCGAUAUACAGUAAGCGGCCAAGCGAAAGCAUUAAGUAUUCCACCUGGGGAGUACGCCGGCAACGGUGAAACUAAAACGAAUUGACGG
rnacentral:rRNA from 1 species